rnacentral:rRNA from 1 species
GAUGAACGCUGGCGGCGUGCUUAACACAUGCAAGUCGAACGAAGCACUUUACUUGAUCUUUUCGGAGUGAUUGUUUUUUGACUGAGUGGCGACGGGUGAGUAACGCGUGGGUAACCUGCCUCACACAGGGGGAUAACAGUUGGAAACGGCUGCUAAUACCGCAUAAGCGCACAGUACCGCAUGGUACGGUGUGAAAAACUCCGGUGGUGUGGGAUGGACCCGCUUCUGAUUAGCUAGUUGGCAGGGCAACGGCCUACCAAGGCGACGAUCAGUAGCCGACCUGAGAGGGUGACCGGCCACAUUGGGACUGAGACACGGCCCAAACUCCUACGGGAGGCAGCAGCGGGGAAUAUUGCACAAUGGGGGAAACCCUGAUGCAGCGACGCCGCGUGAGCGAAGAAGUAUUUCGGUAUGUAAAGCUCUAUCAGCAGGGAAGAAGAAGUGACGGUACCUGACUAAGAAGCACCGGCUAAAUACGUGCCAGCCGCCGCAGUAA